CUAAGUAAGUGCACGCGGCCGGGGUGAGGCGUAGGGUGCAAGCGUUUUGCGGAUGUAUUGGGCGGAAAGGGCUCGUAGGCGGUUUGACGCGGCGGAUGUGAAAACCCAAUGGCUUAACCUUGUGCCUGCAUUCGAUACGGGCAGACUAGAGUGUGGUAGGGGAGACUGGAACUCCUGGUGUAGCGGUGGAAUGCGCAGAUAUCAGGAAGAACACCGAUGGCGAAGGCAGGUCUCUGGGCCACAACUGACGCUGAGGAGCGAAAGCGUGGGGAGCAAACAGGAUUAGAUACCCCAGUAGUC
rnacentral:rRNA from 1 species